ACACUGAGUACAAUCUACAGAAAAUGUAAAUAUAUAACAAACAAUUAACUGACUGGCGAGUUGAAACGACUUGUAAAGCCAAUUGGAUUGUACUUCAAAGUUUAAAACUGAAAAAUAAGUCAAUACAUUUACUACAAAUAUCAUGGGUCGCUGUGAUACGAACCUUCGCUGCAACAGCGUAGUCAGGCUCAAAUCUAAAGUUGUUUUUUUAUAUAUUUUACAGCACUGCCAGCGAACAUCGGGAAGCCGCUUCAAGAUAAAACAGCUCUGGAGAAAAGUCGCGUCGUACUGGACUGUACUGUGACUAAUCCCCGCUGCAGUAUUCGAUGGUAUAAGGGACCGAGCGUCAUCCUGCCCUCAGAGCGCUUUGAGAUCUGCAGUGAGGGCUGUUAUCGAAAACUUGUGAUUCAGCAGGUCUUGCUAGAGGAUGAGGGCACCUAUAGCGUUCAAGUUGGAAACUACACAUCCUCAGCCAAACUUACUGUGGAAGCUCAGUCAAUCCAGAUAGUGCGAGAGCUCAAGGAUGUGGAUGUCAUUGCCCCUGCGGAUGCAUGCUUUGCAUGUGAAGUCUCUUUACCUGCAACAAAGGCUCCUACCUGGACCAUCAAUGGACAGACGCUUCAUCCCAGUCCAAGAGUAGUAAUGGAGAAGAUGGGAACCGUUCAUAGGCUGACUCUUAAACAGACGUCGGAAGACAUGAGUGGCACGCUGUGCUUUAUCAGCGGAAAAGCCAAAAGCACUGCACAACUGUGUGUCAGAAGUAACCUUUGAGAAGAAGCAUACAUGCACUUGGCAACUCCUUCGCCAUUUAUAUAAAACAGUGAGAGUUCUAUCAGUAAUAAAGUACAUUACUAAAAAUGUCAAUAGAGAAUGCUGUUACACAUACCGUAUGUGACUUUUGCAGCUGAUGUUUGAGGCCUGCACUAACCUUAGCAAAACGAGUCUGGGGUUUAAUUGUUUUUGAAUCAUCAAAAGUAAAAAAAGUGAACUACUUCAACUAUUCAAUGAUCAAAGACAUGUUGUUCUUUAUGUUGUUAUGACUUAAAUUUCUUGCACAGUAACUUGGUACGGAUACAUUUGUGUACUACAUCCUUGUAUAGAUAUACUUUGUUGUUUUUUUAAUCUUGUUUUGCGGAAUGCAGAGUAAAGGGCAGAUUUACAGCAAUUAUGUAAUAAUGCGCAGGGCCAAAGAUCACAGGAGGGGUUGGGAUGGAAAGAAGUUUCAGUAUAUGCAACUAAUACGCUACAUAAUAACAUUCAAUAGUAGAGAAACGGUGUCAUUUUCAAACAAAUGAAAAACGCUUUUGAGAGUUUAAGUUGUUUGCUUCAAGACAUAUUUCGCAUAUCCAAAUAUAGUGCUGCAAUAUACCCAUGUUUAUCAGUAUCUUUCAAUAAAACAAGCUUUAUGAAGCAUG